rnacentral:rRNA from 1 species
UACGAAGGGGGCUAGCGUUGUUCGGAGUUACUGGGCGUAAAGGGCGCGUAGGCGGCGCACCAAGUCAGGCGUGAAAGCCCUGGGCUCAACCCGGGAAUUGCGCUUGAGACUGGUGUGCUCGAGUACGGGAGAGGAUAGUGGAAUUCCCAGUGUAGAGGUGAAAUUCGUAGAUAUCGGGAGGAACACCAGUGGCGAAGGCGGCGACCUGGACGGACACUGACGCUGAGACGCGAAAGCGUGGGGAGCAAACAGG